rnacentral:lncRNA from 1 species
GAGGCGGUUGAGUGAGACGAGACGCGCCCCUCCCACGCGGGGAAGGGCGCCCGCCUGGUCCGGCGAGCGCACGUCCCGUGCUCUCCUCUGGCGGAAAUACUAGGCUUUAGAAUUUCACCUUAUGAAUUUUGGGAGAGAGGAGCACAGUUCAGCCCAUAACUAACACACGCAAGACAAAUCUCUCCUCUGUCUUUUUCUUAUCAGACUACUCAACAUGAAGGCAAUAAGAAUGAAGACCUUUAUGUAUAAUAAUUGACUUCCACUUAAUAAAUAAGGUUACUUGGUACACUGGUCGACAAAACCUUGAAAUGUUGAUGUUUAAGGGCUGUUGAUUGCUGGCAACAAAGAAGUCCAACUGUGCUGGUACCCGAGAUAGCGUCUCCACAUUUUCUUCCAGGAUCAUCACCUUUGUUGUAAAUAGCUCCCACAUAGUGUGAACAGAAGUCAUAUGUUUUAGAUUUUCUGCCUUGGCA